CCUUGGGCUUCUCCGUUGUAAUUGGAUCGAUGUUCUUACUGUGUCCUUUCCAGGGUCACACAGGAGCCACUCACAACACCACGGCUUUCUCCUCUAUUCCUCCUCUUCUAUCGUUCUCAAUCAAUGACUGACCUAUUCUUUCCUUCUCUCAUUCUCCUGGCCUUUUCUUCCCUUAUUCAGUCUUCUUCUGAGACGUGGCUGAAGGAAGGGUGACAUCUGUCGUGUUCUCUUACUCUCCCUCUUUCUGUCCCUUUUUUCUGUCCUUUUGAAAGAGGUUGUCCUCCCACACUGUCAUCAGAGAGAGAGACGUAUCACCCCUACAGUCCCCUCACAGUCAUCAGAGAGAGAGAGAGAACGUAUCAACCCCAUACAGCACCCAUCACCUGUCAUCAGAGAGAUGUUCAACCCCUACAGGAGCCACACUUUCAUCAGAGAGUGUAUCCAAACCCCUACAGGAGCCACCCUGUCAUCCGAGAGAUGUAUCCACCCCUACAGCACCCACACUGUCAUCAGAGAGAGAGACGUAUUCAACCCCUACAGACCCACACUGUCAUCGAGAGAUGUAUAUCAACCCCUACAGGCGCCACACUGUCAUCAGGAGAGAUGUAUCAAACCCCUACAGGAGCACACUGCCAUCAGAGAGAGAGACGUAUCAACCACCUACAGCACCCACACUGUCAUCAGGAGAUGUAUCCAACCCCUACAGCCACCCACACUGUCACAGAGAUAGAGACGUAAUCAACCCCCUACACGACCACACUGUCAUCAGAGAGAUGUCAACCCCUACAGGAGCCACACUGUCAUCAGGAGAAGAGAGACUAUCAACCCCCUACCGCACCCACACUGUCAUCAGAGGAUGUAUCACCCCUACAGCACCACCACUGUCAUCAGAGAGAGAGGCGUAUCACCCCCCUACAGCACCCACAAUGUCAUCAGAGAAUGUAUCAACCCCUACAGGAGCCACACUGUAUCAGAGAGAUGUAUCAACCCCUACAGGAGCCACACUGUCAUCGAGAGAUGUCAUAACCCCUACAGCCCCACAGUCAUCAGGAGAGAGAGUAUCAACCCUAAGACCCACCUGUCAUCAGAGAGAGAGAGUAUCAACCCAUUACAGCACCCACAAUGUCAUCAGAGAGAGAUGUAUCAACCCCUACAGGACCCACACUGUCAUCAGAGAGAGAGAUGUAUCAACCCCUACAGGACCCACACUGUCAUCCGAGAGAGAGAGUUAUCAACCCCUACAGGACCCACACUGUCAUCAGAGAGGAUGUAUCCACCCCUACAGCACCCACACUGUCAUCGAGAGAUGUAUCACCCCUACAGCACCCACACUGUCAUCAGAGAGAGAGAAUACAUGAGAGAAAGAGAGAGAUGUAAUGAGAGAAAGAGAGAGAUGUAAUGAGAGGGAGAGAGAGAGGGAGAGAGAGGGAGAGAGAGAGAGAGAGCGAGAGAGAGAAAGAGAGAGAUAUGUAAUGAGAGAGAGAGACAGAGAGAGAGAUGGCGAGAGAUGGCGAGAGAGAGAGAGAGAGAUGGAGAGAGAGAUGGCGAGAGAGAGAGAGACGGCAAGAGAGAGGGAGUCGAAGAGAGUGAGGCAGAGAGAGCGAGAGAGAAUAAAUUAAUGAGAGAAAAAUAUAGAGAGAAUGAAUGAGAAAGAAACAGAGAAAGAGAGAGACCAUCCCACAUAAUGUGGAGGUGAAAGGGAGUAGAAAUAACAGACGAACCAAGGCUCCGCCGGGCCCCUCYAUACUACUAUCCUGCCAUCAGACAACAGCACCACUAUGGAGCUAGGCAAGACCCUAAYGAGACAAACUCCGUCAAGUCAGCACAGUUAUCACCGGGGUCUUCAACGUUUCCAAAACUCUGUCUUGGGGCCUCCCAUGGGUGCACGUUUUAGUUUUUKCCCUAGCACUACACAGCUGACUCAAAUAAUCAACGCUUGAUGAUGAGUUGGUUCAUUGAUUCAGCUGUGUAGCACUGAGGCAAAAACCAAAGCCUGCACCGGGGUGGGGCCCCUGGACCGGGUUUGGGAAACCCUGUUGUACACACAUUCACAGACAAGACGGCAUCUGACUGACAUACAUUGUAUAGAAGGACAUCGCAUGGAGAUUGGCAAAGCUAGUGAAAAUCUAACGUCAUCAGAUUGGGUUUUGGGGGGAUUCAGGUAGUCUAGACUUUGAUUAGGUGUCUUAAGCCUUUUGGUUUACAGUCCAACGAGUCCAUAAAAUGACCUUGUAUUGUUUUAUGUUUGGUCAAAAUAUAUUGAUAUAUUGAAGUCUCUGAAAGGACAUGUCAAGGUCCCUUAUAAUGCCUCGCAGGGGUGAACUGGUCAUUAAAAAGCUGGGCUAACAGUGUUCAAUAUAUAAGCUGACAACGCUACUUUACUGUAUUGGUACAUAAACGCUUUCCACCACAUCAGAAAGGUGUGCAAAGGGUGUUCAUCAUACACUAUAUUCCUGUUAAUAUGUCAAAACACCAGUCAUAUGUCAGUGGUGUUGGAGGAYACUGGUGGACAUUUGGUGAGGGAUUUAUUGACCUAAAAUGCAUUCAGAAAGUAUUCAGACCCCUUGACUUUUUCCACAUUUUAUUACGUUACAGCCUUAUUCUAAAAUGGAUUAUAUGACUUGUUUCCCUCAUCAAUCUACACACAAUACCCCAUAAUGACAUCACAAUACCCCAUAAUGACAUCACAAUACCCCAUAAUGCACAAACGGUAGACAACCUGGUUGCCAAAGACACCAUAGCGU
ensembl:lncRNA